rnacentral:lncRNA from 1 species
AGGAUUGCCCAAGCCAUAUAAGGAGACCAAGGACCUCAAAUCCCUCCGAUGUGGGACAACUCAACACCCCCCAUCACGCCCAGAUCUCUGGAGCGUGGAUAACAUAAAUGGGGGCCCAACAUCGGCAACAAUAAUUGGGAUGGGUCUGGCUCUGAUACCAUGAUAAGAAUGAACCUUGGGUCUAACUCAACCCAUGAUAAGAAUGGACCUUGGGUCUAACUCAACCUCAAAAGCUAACUUAUAAGGUGAGGAUUGCUCAAGCCAUAUAAGGAGACCAAUGACCUCAAAUCCCUCCGAUGUUUGGGGUUGAGUUAGACCCAAGAUCCAUUCUUAUCAAGAAUAAACAUGGAACAGGAACAAGGAUUAUGUACUUUGUAAGUUUUGGUAUCGGAAUAAUAUGUUUAUUCAUUGAAAGACUAUACAAUUUAUAGGGGAAAACACAUCAAUAAAUAUUGGAAAAUAUUUUCUUGAUUCUAGACAGUCUAGAAUUAACAAAUAAUUGUAGUCUAAAUCUAAUCCCUACGAUUUUAAAACUUUCCUAACUUAUCUGAUCUGAUUUGAUCUCAUAGGACCAAUAAUCAGAUAAUACAAUUCAAUAUAUCUGAUUUGAUUUUAUCACAUAUGAUCAUAGUCAGAUAAUACAAAUCAAUAGUUUCCCUCAAGUUGGCAUGUAGAUACCUGACACGCCUAAGUUGCUUACAAGACCUUCAAUUCUUGGAUUAAAAACCCCUUAGUAAAAAUAUAUGCUGAUCUCUUGGCACAAAAUGGCAAACACAUAUUGUUAUUAUAAACAGAGUAGAUAUCACAUUCAAAGAAAUUGCUCUAAGCCUACUUUGAUUCUCUUGGAAACAAAGUGACAUUAAUACGAACUAAUUGUCUUUCCCUUUUGUAUGCUUUAAUAAAAAAACCAAAAAUUAUUUUUCUAUCAGAAUUGAAGAAGACAUUGUUGGAUUACCUUUUGAAGAAAAGUAGGGUUCCUAAAAAAAAUAAUCACACUACCUUCAAAAUAACCGUGUAGUUGAACCGUGUUGUAGCUUCUGUGGCGCUAACCUCGCUAUGUAGACCAAAGAGGAGUUGGCUUACAAAUAAGUCUUUUCAUUUCAGUUAGUAGCACGUGUGAUGGAAAUUUCCAUUCAGUCAAUACAUGAUUUUGAAACAAAAAGAAAGACAACAUGUUGGGCUUCGUGAAUACUAGACAUAAACUGUAGGGAAUUGCAAGGAGCUUCACUAGGUUGUUGAGAGUGGGUAACCAUAAUGCAGGUUGGCUUUAUACUUGGAAUUGCAACCUAAGAGGAAUUGGCUCGCAGUAGGUAUUGUCAGUGGCAUCUUUCAGCAAUUAGCUUGUACAAUGGAAGGUAUAUGUAUUUAAAUUAUUUUGCAGAGCAAACGAAAGAUAAGCUGUCAAGCAUUCUGAAUACUUGAUUACCUAGUAAAGCACAAAGUAAAACUAGCUAUUAUGUCUUUGCUGACUGUUAAUCCGUGGAGUGAUGUGAGUAAACUACGCAGGUUGGGAACUUGUAAUUAAGAAGGUAAACUUUAGCAUCUAUUCUAAUUGUUUUUCCAAUUAGAAAAUUAAAUUUGUUAUGCAGUUUUUCAUAGAUCUGAUGCUUCAUUAUUCCUUUAAAGC